CACGGGGGGAGCAAGCGUUGUUCGGAAUCACUGGGCGUAAAGGGCGUGUAGGCGGUCAGGUAAGUGGAAUGUGAAAUCCCUCGGCUCACCCGAGGACCUGCAUCCCAAACUGCCUGGCUUGAGUAUGGGAGAGGAUGAGGGAAUUCCUGGUGUAGCGGUGAAAUGCGUAGAUAUCAGGAGGAACACCGGUGGCGAAGGCGCUCAUCUGGCCCAAUACUGACGCUGGAGGCGACGAAAGCUAGGGGAGCAAACGGG
rnacentral:rRNA from 1 species